AAACCAAUUUCCCACAAUAUCUCAAGGGCCCUAUAAAUACAUCCUCUUUCCCUUCCCGCCGAUUCAUUUUUUCCUUUCCCGUCUCUCCCAGCCCUAACCGUCACUAGCGGAGUUUUGAGAGGCUACGUUUCCAGGUAGCGAUCAAGUUCUCGGUGCCCGUUGAGCAGUCAAACGCCACUACUGUUGUUAGACAUUUGUUGUAUUGUUUGUGCAUAUAUCUGAGAGUAUUCAAGGAUAGUUAAAACUUGAAUUUGAUUUCAAGGUGAAAGACAAGAAAGAAUAUGAAAAUGUUGUUGCAGACCAUCUGUCUGGACUUGAGAAUAAAGAGAAGAAAACAAAUUUUCCCAUUGUUGAGGAGUUUCCUAAUGAGAGCUUGUAUAAGGUGCAAGACAAUUUACCAUGUAUGCUGACAUAAUUAAUUUUCUUGCAGGAAACCAUCUACCACCCAAUUAAAACUCCUAAUAAAAGAAAAGGUUCUUGCACAAUGUUAAAUCUUACCUAUGAGAAGAUCCCCUUCGAUUCAAAGUGUGUGCAGACAACAUUAUCAUAAGUAUGUUCCCCAAGAAAAGGUAAGCUCAGAACACGAUGGUCAAGACCUUUUGUCAUCACAAAGGUCUCCCCAUAUGGAGCAGUGGAGCUAUAAGAGGAUGAUGGAUCCACAUUCAAAUUCAAUGGUCAGAGGCUCAAGCACUAUUGUGAUGAUGAAGAAAGAAAGAUAAAGAAUUAAACUAAACGCUUCUUGGGAUUCAAUCUAGCUAAAGACGAUAAACUAAACGCUUCUUGGGAGGCAACUCAAGUUUUAUUGCUUUCUUUUUUUCAGUAUUUAAUUAUAGUUAGUUGGUUUUUUAAAAAAAAAAUAAUGAAGUCACUCAUUUUCUCUCAUAAUUUUUUAGGAUCUAUGCCCAACACAAAAAGUACUCUUUCCACUUGCCUGUUUGUUGGAGUCCUACAUGCUCUCAGACUUGUAUCUCUGUGUUUUAUUCUUUUUAUGCAUUGAGGACAAUGUAUAUUUCUAAGUUUAGGGUGGGAGGUGCCAUUCAUACUUUUAUGUGUUUUCUUAUCAUGUUAUGCAUGAUAAUUAGAAUUUAUCGAUGAUAUGCAUGUUAAUUUGUUGAUUUGAAAAUUUGGAGAAAAUUUUUCGAUUGAAGAGCUGAGCAGAUGAUGAGAGUUCCUUACUGUUUGCUUUUGAUGUUGAUUAUCAAUGAUGAAACUUGAAUAUGCAUGUUGGAUAACUUAUGGUGGAAUAGGAUAGCAUAAUCUUCAGUUAUGACCUACUUAUGUCCCUCUUUGAGUCUCCCAUAUCAUAAGCACAUGGUCACUUUAAUUUAGAAACUUUAACUGAAAGAAGAAUUGAGUUGAGUAUAUUUGGUUGUCACCUUGAAAUGUCCCACCGGAUAGAGAGUUGAUAUGCAUGAUUGUUUGUAAUAUUAGACUAAAGAGAAAUAAAAGAACAUGUAUGCCUUUGGGAUAAGUUUACUCACAAAAUAUUAUGAGUAUUAAAAGAAAAAUUUGUGAAAAAAAUUAUUCUUGUAAAGUCGUAAUGUGUGGAUAAAAAGAGCUACCUUUGUUGUGCAGUUAGGACACUUGAGAAUUGACUAGGUAUGAGUCCUUAUGGUGAAUGUGUGAAAGCUAGUGCUCCUAGGUAAAAGAAUGCAAGUUUAAGGUCCUUUGUGAUUGAGAAUCAAGGCACUUUAGUGGACAUAUUACCCUCUUGAAAUGUAUAGAUGCUUGAUGAUUGGUGCAUGAGCUGAAGUAGAGGGAAAAUUAGAAAAUCUCUUUUAAACCUAAUUCCAGUUCUUGUGUUUUGAAUUGAAUGUGGCUUGUACAUACACACAUGGAAGGUAAUUAAGAUUUGACCCUGAAUGAUUAUAAUAAUAAGACAUGCUUGAAUGUUUCUACUUAAGUUUCUAAUUAUUCUUUGAAGCAUGAAUCACUAGUACACUUGUUGUUUUGUUUUAUCUUUGCUCGAGAUUUACAAAUUUCUAAGUUUAGGGUGGUGAAAAGCACUCCAAACGUGCUUUGAUUACUUCUUAUUUAGGGAUUUUUUUAUUAGAUUUAAUGUGUUUGCAAGUGAUUUUUAGGGAAUUAGCAAAAACAAAAAAGGGUAUUGGAAGCCAAAAGAACCAAAUCGAGCCAACUUUGCAAGAAAGAGUGAAGAAAAAAAAUCAAAUACCCAAAACAGGGUAGCGUCGUGGUGCUAGACCGACAUUGCCCUCGAUGCAAAUACCCGAGAGUAUCAAAUUUGGGCAUGUUGAAGAGUGUCGUGAUGCUAUGUAGGAGCGUUGCUAUGCCUUAUUGAGGUGUAGCAUUGCGCUUCGACAAGGAGAAGCACCCAGGGGGCCUUCAAGUGGACAACGCCACAGCACAAAGCUUCGUUUUCUAAAAAAUUCAACAAUUUUGAAAAUUUUCUUCUAUAAAUUCCAGGGUAUUUUAGCAGCCUCAAACACGAAAUUCCAGAGCUCUAAAGUGUGUUUUUGUUGCAAAAGAUAGUAGAAAGUAUAAGGGAUAUUUUUUGGGCGCCGUUCAAGUUUCCAAGGUGAAGAUCAAGGCGUUCUUGGAUGAUUCAAGAAGAUGGAGGUUCGAUAGUAGUUUUUCUUCAAUUCCCUUUUUUCCUUUACUGCUUAUGCUUGAAAUUAUAUAUGCAAAUAUAUGGCUGAGAGCUACGAGUGACUAAACUUUUAAGUAUUAUGGUAUCAAUGAUGUUAAUUAUGAAUUUAGGUUAAGUUUUAGUGCCUUCAUGGAUGAUUGUUAAACUCCAUGCUUUUCAUUGAUAUUGUGUUUAAUUCUUAUUGAUUGACCUUCAAUAAAUAUUAGGGUGAAUGUUUAACUGGCUUUCUAUUGUUGCA